rnacentral:lncRNA from 1 species
GUAGGUUCAGAAAGCAAUCAGCUUCAAUAACAAAGGAAAAGUUCUGUGUAGGCUGCUAAACAUAAAGAUGCUCUAUCUGGCAGAAUAAUCUCAGAGUCUGAGAGUGCUGGAGUUUGGGAAAAUAGUCUGACAAACUGUAAAAGUAUAUGCUUGUCCUGCUUUGGAACCAUUCCUCAGGUCUCAGUUACUGAUCUCCAUCAGAGGAACAGUGCUGAGGCCUUCAUGGGCUUUUGGUGUGAACCAAUGAUUCUUAUUUAUAUUUUUAUAUACAUACCAUGUACUCCCACUUAUAACCACUUCCCAGUAAUGCCGUCCGCUGUCAAUGAACACAUUGCCAGCUACUCCAUAGCUCCCUUGGCUCGUGAAUCGCUCUGGUGUAUGACUCUUUUUGGAGGAGGUUUCAUCACGUUCCACUGUCAAAUUGUCAUGAGACACUUUCAGCUUUCUAUGAGCAGAUUUGGGGUCCAGUUUAAAUGGCUGACUGUUUGUCUUGAGCUUGCCUGGCUCGCUGCUUCUGCUGCCAGCCUGAUUAAUAGCCUUAACAAUGAAGAUGUACUUUGUGCCACUCUGUAACCCAUGCACGGUGUAGUGGUUUUGUUUGAUAUUGGGAACAAUCAUCCAGCUGUCGGCUGAGUUACAUAAACUAACAACGUUAGCUUGUCCAGUGAAGAUGGUGUACUGCAGCUCGUAAGAGACCACGCUGAACUCAUCGUCUGAUGUCCAGUGGACAGUAAUAG